CCUACGGGUGGCAGCAGUGAGGAAUAUUGGUCAAUGGGCGAGAGCCUGAACCAGCCAAGUCGCGUGAAGGAUGACGGCCCUACGGGUUGUAAACUUCUUUUGUCAGGGAGCAAUUGAGUCCACGUGUGGGCUUAGCGAGAGUACCUGAAGAAAAAGCAUCGGCUAACUCCGUGCCAGCAGCCGCGGUAAUACGGAGGAUGCGAGCGUUAUCCGGAUUUAUUGGGUUUAAAGGGUGCGUAGGUUGUUUUUUAAGUCAGCGGUGAAAGUUUGUGGCUCAACCAUAAAAUUGCCGUUGAAACUGGAAGACUUGAGUGUGUUUGAGGUAGGCGGAAUGCGUGGUGUAGCGGUGAAAUGCAUAGAUAUCACGCAGAACUCCGAUUGCGAAGGCAGCUUACUAAGCCAUAACUGACACUGAAGCACGAAAGCGUGGGGAUCAAACAGGAUUAGAUACCCGGGUAGUC
rnacentral:rRNA from 1 species